UACGGGGGGGGCAAGCGUUGUUCGGAAUUACUGGGCGUAAAGGGCUCGUAGGCGGCCAACUAAGUCAUACGUGAAAUCCCUCGGCUUAACCGGGGAACUGCGUCUGAUACUGGAUGGCUUGAGAUUGGGAGAGGGAUGCGGAAUUCCAGGUGUAGCGGUGAAAUGCGUAGAGAUCGUAAGGAAGACCAGUGGCGAAGGCGGGUCUCUGGACAGUUCCUGACACUGAGGCACGAAGGCCAGGGGAGCAAACGG
rnacentral:rRNA from 1 species